AUUGAACGCUGGCGGCAGGCCUAACACAUGCAAGUCGAGCGGAUGAAGGGAGCUUGCUCCGGGAUUCAGCGGCGGACGGGGGAGUAAUGCCUAGGAGUCUGCCUGGUAGUGGGGGAUAACGUCUGGAAACGGGCGCUAAUACCGCAUACGUCGUGAUGGAGAAAGUGGGGGAGCUUCGGACCUCACGCUAUGAGGUGAGCGUAGGUCGGGUUAGCUAGUUGGUGGGGUAAAGGGCUACCAAGGCGACGAUCCGUAACUGGUCUGAGAGGAUGAUCAGUCACCUGGGAACUUGGACACGGUCCAGACUCCUACGGGAGGCAGCAGUGUGGAAUAUUGGACAAUGGGCGAAAGCCUGAUCCAGCGAUGCCGCGUGUGUGACGACGGUCUUCGGAUUGUAAAGCACUUUAAGUUGGGAGGAAGGGCAGUAAGUUAAUACCUUGCUGUUUUGACGUUACCAACAGAAUAAGCACCGGCUAACUUCGUG
rnacentral:rRNA from 1 species